AUAAAGUUGUGAGUACCAGAAGAUGUUGGGACGGUAUCACUUCCUUCGCAGUAUGCUUUUUAUUUUCCAUGCAUGUAUAGAAAAAAAAAGAAAAAGAAAAAAAGAAAAAAAAACAAAAAAACAAAAGAAAAAAAAACAAAAGAAAAAAAAGAAAAAGAAAAAGAAAAAAUCAAAAAAAAAAAUCAAAAAAUCAAAAAUCAAAUCAUUCAGGUUUCAGCUCAUCUAGCCUGAACUACGAAAGACCUGCUCCCCACACUCACGGGAGUACGUAGGCAGCCAUUUAUGGUGCGAUCAAACGAAAUCAAACACUUCCCAAACGAAACCAAACACUUCCCAAACGAAACCAAAC
rnacentral:lncRNA from 1 species